UACGGAGAGUGCAAGCGUUGUUCGGAAUUACUGGGCUUAAAGAGCGUGUAGGCGGAAAGGCAAGUGUCGGGUGAAAGCCCUCGGCUCAACCGGGGAAUUGCCCGGCAAACUGCUUUUCUUGAGGCAGGUAGAGGUGAGUGGAACGACUGGUGGAGCGGUGAAAUGCGUAGAUAUCAGUUGGAACGCCGGCGGCGAAAGCGACUCACUGGACCUGUCCUGACGCUGAGACGCGAAAGCGUGGGUAGCGAACAGGAUUAGAUACCCUUGUA
rnacentral:rRNA from 1 species